GGGGCCCCCCCCCCGCCACUAGGCUGCUAUGCCAUGCUGCCAGGCGGCAGUGACGCAGUAAGCUGUGUAGGACGGGGUGUGCUGGCAGGGUAUCCUGCAUGGUGAUACACUGCCCUAGAGAGGGGCUUCUGCCAACACAUCCAGGGCCAUUAUCCUGACCCUCCCUGAUCAUCAUGGGCUUUGCCUGAAUAGGGAGGCUCACGCUCAGCCUGGGGUGUCUGCCUGAAGGCAGUGGGCCUUCCAGUUCUUUUCCUUUGGGGUUUUUGCACUAACAAAUUAAUUUUCUAACCUUUCACUCUCAUUCCCUAAAUGAUCUAAAUCCUGAACUAAAGGUUGGCUCCGGCAUUUCUCCAGCCAGACCUUUGGGCCGGGUCAUCAUAACAUGGCUGAAGGCUCUUCCGCAGUCUGACCACUUGGGUUGCUUGCUUGGUCACCCUCCCUGGAUUUCAGAUUAAAGGUCCCAAAGUGCUUUGCUCCCUGGCACCAUGAGGCAUCCACGAAAGAACAGCAGCUCUAAGAUCUUAAUGGAGAAGCUGGGCUUUACAGACCUCCAUCCUCGGCUGAGAAUACGACUUUCCAUAAGUCAUGCUCAUCGGGAUUUCAUUACGAAUGGUGGCCCAGAGCCAAUAUUGAAAUGGGUUUGGCUAGGGUGCAGAAUGACUGCAAAACAAAAUUGAUUCCAAACAUCUGGAAAAAUGAAGAGAAGGGGCGAGGAACUCGCAAGGCGCUGGCUGCAGCUGAUGUGCUUUAGCAGAGAAAGAAUAAUGCCAAUGUCCCCACGCUGGGCCUGGAGAUGCUGACCAAGCUUAAGAACUGCUGAGCACCAGGCAAAGACCAUGCUGCUAUACCUGGCCACCAUACCUGCUUUCCCUGGUCCCCGAGGGACCUAGGCCAGUUGCCUGGAGUUGGCUCCUCCCCACCACCUGCCAAGAGCUCCUUAGUCACUGACCUGUACUCCGCUCCCCAGCCUUUGACGAAGCUCAUACGGAUGGUGCACAUGCGAGUCAACUGGUAGACAGCCUCAAAGCCCUGGUUGACAGACUGGGCCAGGAGGGCAGCAAAUUCCUGGUUGUUGAAGAUCUUCAGGUUGCAGCCUGCCAACCACAGAUAGUCAGAUAAAGCACCCUGGAAAUGCCCAAAUGGCCUGAUUCACACGCCUCAGGUGGCACAUAGUGGUUCCACUCAGUGGCUCCCUGCUCUGUUCAUCCCUAUGCAAGGAGGGGGCUUCCCCAUUCCUACACUUGAUUGGUACACCCUUGCAGGGAGAAGCAUGUACAAGGGACACUAAAGGCUGGCCCACAUCCUCCAGCUGUGGGGAUGUCAAAUGCUAAGAAGGAAGCCUGGAAGUGGACUUGGAUGACGCAGGGAUCUUCUGGAGAGGCUGAGGCAGGACUCUAGGGUUCAGAGAGGCAAGGGACCUGAGCCUAGCUGCCAAUGCCUUAUGGUGUGGUAGCCACCUGGGGACAGGUGCUCCCUCAUCGGUGCAGUGAGGUGGGUAUGGGGCCUACUGCGAGAGUCAGAAGCAUCCUCCACCUGGCUCCUCUGAUGGCCCUGCCUCAUGUUGGGGCUAAGGAAGAGAGCUGGGUCACAUAGUGAUGUCUUGAUUCAAGCUUGGGCCACAGUGACAUCAACAACAAUGUACCCAAUUCUCCAGAAUGCAGCUGGAGAUGGGCACAAAUAACAUGGAAAAUAAACCUUGUUUGAAGUCCUACUGCCCAGGUGCCAGGAGAGCAAGACCCAGAAAAUAAAGGCUAAAGUCCAUGCCCAGGAACUAGAGAACCAGCACAGACCCUAUCAGCUGUGGACUCUGCCCUGCCUCUUCUGGUGAUCCUGUGUCCCCUUUAAAAGGGGGAGGGGGAUUGAUCGUCAGGGCCCUGACAGACUCUAAGCUGACAUGAUACAACCAGAGAUACUCAGCCUUCACCAGGGAGGGAGGUGGAGCAGAAAGGCAGAAGCUAGGAAUACCACCCCUCCACCUCCAUCCCUGCAUGCUCCUGGGAAGGUGGGUAGACCAAAGCACAGACCACACCCACUCCUGGGGCUACAGCCCUAGCUGAGCCAAAAGACUGAACACCAGGCUAGUCAGCCAGCUCUCCACGGCUCAGGCCUACUGUGGCUUCUUCCCAGCUCUUGGACUUGGAGAAGUAAGUGUGGCUCAUUCUGAAUUCUUUCCCUAGCCUUUCUUAGAGCCACAGGGGUUGCUAGAGAGGAAGUGUGAGCUCAGAGAUGUGAACUUUGUAAAUAAAACCACAAAAGCUGCCAGAGCAGAGAUCCAUUCCUGGCUGA